GUGGCAUCUCCUGUUUAAAUGCCUUCUAGAAAAAACUUCUCAGGCCUGAACAGGAAAUUGGGACUUGACCCCUGAUUCCCUCUGUAGCCAGGCCCUGGCCUUGGCUCAUGCUUUCUCCAAAAAGGUUUUUCAAAUCUUUCGGGCCAGGGGACUCCUUCCCAACUUCACUGUGUUGCCGUAACUGCCCACUUCUUUGUGUUUCUUUCACUAGCUACCCAUCGCUGUCACUGCGUGGCCCCAAUGCAAAGUGGGAGACGCCCAAUGAGCUGGAAGGAAAGAAGAAAGAUUAAAAGAAAGCUUAAGAAUAGCAUAGAGUAGCAGGCAGGUGUUUAUUCUUCGCAUGUAAACUCAGCAAGGGCUAAAGAAUCCAAAACAGUCCAGAAACACCAUAGUUUUUGAGGGUGCUCCUGACUGCGGGAGGCCGAGCUUGCACUAAUGGGUCUGCACACGUCCCAGGGCAAACACAAGUUGGUGCAUAUACCAGACUCAUGCAUCCAUGCACCUGUGCACGUCUCAGGUUCGUGCGAACAGGAAUCCGUACACACCCGUACCUCUGUGGGCAGCCAUUCGGUGCAAACACAAGUGUGCGCACACUCGUGUGAAAAGCAAAUCCUUGAGAUCGUGCACAGAGGAAAACGUGGAAACCCACCGGUUCGUGCAUAUCGGAUGGUGCAAACACAAGCCUACGUAUACUGGGACGAGUGCACUGUCCCGAGGUUGUACACACGUGGAAAGAGGCACACCCCAGGGUUGUGCACACACGAGGUCCUGCAUGCCCCUUGGGCCAACUCUCAGGCCUAGUCCAGAGAAAGUAGAGGCGCCCAUUCGACCCAAACUCGGGCACAGCUGUAGGGUCUGGGCGCCAUCUUCGCCCCGCGAGCAGCGGAAAGAUCAGCAGACCGGUCGGCCCUUGCGCAGGGGCCUUUGUUGUCCCUGCUUCCGGGCGUCCAUCACGCGGAGGCCGCGCGCGCCGGAGCACGAAAUGGCGGUUGGGGGCGGGGCUGGACGGGGCGACCCGGAACAGCGCCCACUCACGACUCCAGGCAAGGCGCGCCGUCCCGCCCCCUUGCGCAGGCGCACGGCACGGCGCGCGUUCCCGCGUUCCCUCCGACGCGCGCCGGGACACAAAGGGCUGGAGGGAAAGCACGGAGCGCGGCCAGCACCUACGGAGCGGUUAGCGGUCCGGAGCGGCCUGGAGCGGACUACCGGGGCCGGAGCCGGGCUCGCCGGAACCGCGCGCUGGGGCGCCGGGUGGGGCGUUGGGCGGCGCUCCUUCCCCUCCCCUCGUCCUCCUUCAACGGCCGUAACGGCCUCGCGAGCUGGGGUGGGGCGGAGCGGGCCGGCAGGGCGCAGGCGCCGAACUCCCGGCCGCCGCGGGGAGGGCCUGGCGCCUCCAUUUUCCGUCGCGCGCCCUAAUGGCGGAAGUGGCUGCUUUUACCCGGGUGCGGAGGGAACGACUCGCCUCUGGGAAAGCUAGAGGCCUUCUCUCCAGAUUCUUUGCUCGGUCCGCGCGCUUCAGCGCGGGAGUUGACCGAUGUAGCUCUUUAUAAAGGUUUGGAAUGUGUUGUAAAAAAAAAAGAAAAGGCCGACAUCUCCGCAAAUUACUACAGUAGAUUGCGACUUGCUACUUCAAAUUGGGAAAUAGGGAAGGGGUGAGGAUACUAAUGCUGAAAAGUAUUAGACCAGCCAAGGAACUACCCCGACAGUUUGGCGACCUGCAAGGGACCUUCAUAGGCCAGACACCGCUUGCUCCAAGCCUGCUGCAGCUGACAGAGCUCGGGGACUCUGACAAGAGCCAGCGGAAGAUUUCUCUCCAGUGGAAAGAGCCCAUCUCCUGAGGAGGAGACUGGUGACAGCUGAAUCCUUCCAGGAGACUCUGCUUUUAGAUACUGGGAGUACGGGAAAAACCACUCACAGUGAGAGAUUCUGGAUCCCUUCAGUAUGAAUGCUCCUCUUCUCCUUGUCCAAAGGCCAGGCUGGUUGGGGGUGCUCAGGGUCUAGGGGUUUGGUUCAGCAUUCCUGAGACUGGCACAGGGAAUUCAGCAAGGGCAGAAGGAGCGGGGUAGUCCCCCCAGCAGAGGCUGUGCGAGGGUGGAGGAAAGGGCCAAGUCACUAUGGUUGGCGAUCCAGGGCAUGUGUAGGAGCACAGAGGGCCAGGGUCAAAUCCUAUGUCCUUGGGCAAGAUUCUUAACUUCUCUGGGCUUCAUUUUUCUACUUGGGUAAAAACCCUCACAGGACCACAGUAAGGCUAAGAUUACUUAACGCAUUCAAAGCACAUGAUACAGUGCCUGGCACAGAGCAAGUGUUCAGUUAAUGCAGCCAACUUCACUGCUGGGGACAGGCAGUGAACAAAGCCGAGCCCCGCUCUCCUGGAUCUUCCAUUAAACAAAGGUGUACAUGCCAUCAUCAGAUGGCCGGGUACACCAGCAGAAAAGGAAGCAGGUGAGAGGCAGGGAGGGAGAGGUGGGGGCUGGUGUGGUCAGGAAAGGGACAUCUGAGCAGAAACCAGAAUGAGGUGGCCUCACCGGAAUUAGGAUGAUGUCUCAUUGCUGUUCCUCCUGCAUGUUCCCUUAAUCAUUCCUUCUCUUGCCUGAGUUUCCACCAGCCAGUGAACCGGGACUAGGUCGGUUCCCAUCUCAGCUGAGCACGUGGCCUCCUCUCCAUGAUCCUUUCUGGGGGUGGCGUCAGUGGAGUGCGAGCACAUGGGGGCCCCAGGUUCCGAAUAAUGGAAACUGUUUCUUUCCUGGCUGCCGAGAUCCGGUUUCCUCCCAAGGAAAUAAUGUCUCACCGCAGCUGAGGCCGGCACUGCCCCCUGGAAUUUCCCUGCAGGGGAGAAACACCCCGCUGGCGGAGCUGCUCUGAGCUGGGACACACCUAGAGCCUGCUUGUGCACAACCCAGAGGGGGACACGCCCAGAGACACACACAGAAAAUGCCGUGGAAUGUGCUGAGAUGGUCUACUGGGAGGAACGAUGUCUUCUGCAUUACGACCCCUCAGCCUAAGUGAAGGAGUCAAUCUAAUCCUGGCAAUGUGAGCAAAUCCACUUGAGAAUUACUCAGUCCUGAACUCCCCCAAACUACAUGCUUGUCUAUUUUUCCUGUCCCCAAGUGUUCUGAAACAUACCUGCCAACGAACUGAACUGUAUCCUGGAAAAUGGCAGCAUGGAGGAAUAAAUCCAAAGACUGUGACCUUUCUUCCUCUUAUCUUUAUCAGCCUGUGGCUUUUAGGCACCAAAUUUUGUGUUCUAAGUUUUUACACCCCCCUUCCCUACUGCCCCAAUCCAAUUACAGCGGUGGGCUAACUAUCUUGAGCUCCUUCAACACAGGGGAGCCAUCUCUGAGUUAUGUGGCCCUCAUAAUGAUCCAUUUCUCCUCCUGCUGCUCCCUGAGUAAACUGAAAUGGUAUUGUC